rnacentral:rRNA from 17 species
GAACUGAAACAUCUAAGUACCCGGAGGAAAAGAAAUCAACCGAGAUUUCCUGAGUAGCGGCGAGCGAAAGGGAAACAGCCGAUUCAGUAUGAUGUAGUGGAAGCUUCUGGAAAGUAGCGCAAUAAAGGGUGAUAGCCCCGUACACGAAGCAGCAUAUUGGACACAUUAAGUAGGUCGGAGCACGAGAAACUUUGACUGAAGAUAGGGGGACCAUCCUCUAAGGCUAAAUACUCCCAAUUGACCGAUAGUGAACCAGUACCGUGAGGGAAAGGCGAAAAGAACCCCUGUGAGGGGAGUGAAAUAGAACCUGAAACCGUAUACGUACAAGCAGUGAGAGCCCACUUGUUGGGUGAUUGCGUACCUUUUGUAUAAUGGGU